rnacentral:rRNA from 1 species
GCGAGAAGUGGCUUCGGCCGCGAGUACAGCGGCGAACGGGUGAGUAACACGUGGAUAACCUGUCUGAGAGUGGGGGAUAACUCGGGGAAACCUGAGCUAAUACCGCAUUCGCUUUCCGGAUCGCGGUCCGGAUCGGAAAGGUGGCCUCUUCUUGAAAGCUACCGCUCACAGAGGGGUCCGCGUCUGAUUAGCUAGUUGGUGAGGUAAUGGCUCACCAAGGCGACGAUCAGUAGCCGGCCUGAGAGGGUGAUCGGCCACACUGGAACUGAGACACGGUCCAGACUCCUACGGGAGGCAGCAGUGGGGAAUAUUGCGCAAUGGGGGAAACCCUGACGCAGCAACGCCGCGUGGAGGAUGAAGGCUCUCGGGUCGUAAACUCCUGUCAGGUGGGAAGAAAAACCGUACGUUAAUAGCGUGCGGCGUUGACGGUACCACCAGAGGAAGCCCCGGCUAACUCCGUGCCAGCAGCCGCGGUAAUACGGAGGGGGCGAACGUUAUUCGGAAUUAUUGGGCGUAAAGGGCGCGUAGGCGGCUUGGCAAGUCAAAGGUGAAAUCCCUCGGCCCAACCGAGGAACUGCCUUUGAAACUGCUUGGCUUGAGGCCGGGAGAGGGUAGCGGAAUUCCCAGUGUAGCGGUGAAAUGCGUAGAUAUUGGGAGGAACACCAGUGGCGAAGGCGGCUGCCUGGACCGGUUCUGACGCUGAUGCGCGAAAGCGUGGGGAGCAAACAGGAUUAGAUACCCUGGUAGUCCACGCUGUAAACGAUGGGUACUCGGUGUCGCGGGUAUCGACCCCUGCGGUGCCUUAGCUAACGCGUUAAGUACCCCGCCUGGGGAG